UAGCAGGAUAAGUUACGGAUCAGCUGCGUUCGUGCUGUUCUGUCGUUCCCCCUGCACAAAUUGACUUGUUUCUUACUAUCCCUGUCUGCCUGCGCCCAUCAGCUUGCAGGGACGCUUGGUUUCACACAU
ensembl:snoRNA SNORA63 Small nucleolar RNA SNORA63